rnacentral:lncRNA from 1 species
AACGGCGUCUACACGGCGUGAGGACGACAUUAUGAGUAGCCUCUUCCAACGUUCACGAAUAUAUGAUAAAUACAUGAUAAAGUUCACGUCUGCGUGAUCAGGCAUCGUUUUCUACUUUUUUUGAUCCCGUAUGGUAAAGCCGCCUGCCAUUUUCUUCCUCACAGCGUUAUAUCACGCCACAUCGAGAGUCCACGACGAAAAGUUGAUCAAGAGCAUCCAUCUCCCCUUUUAUCUUCCAAAAUAGUUUGAAAUCUUAAGAAAAGGGUGUCUGCCUUUUUUUGGUGAAAAGCCUUUGAAUUUCUAGCUAGCGAUUUUACCCUUUUCCCUCCCAAAUUUAUAACCCUAGUAGCCCCUCUAUAUGUGUUCUUUUUCUUCUCAUUGUGGGAGGAGGUUUUUUUUAGCAAGAGAAUUUUGAGGAGGAAAUUUUGAACUAAUAGAAAAAUUAGACAGAAAGAAAAAUUGUGGAUAAUAGUAAGAAAGUAUUAGCUAAAAAAUCAGGAAGAUAUUCAAGGCUGAGCUCGUUCUAGUUCAAUCGAGAACUCCUAUUCUCACUCUGUUCCCGUAUCGUUAGUUUAUCCUCACUCAAGGCUUGAUUCGUUAUCUUUUCUCGUCUUUGUGUCCCACUUUCGCUGCUCAAGGAAAGAAAUCCGCAAAGGCUUAAAUUUUUUCCAUUUCGAGUCAAUCAUCCCGUAAACCGAUGAACACAUCAUGGAGCGAAAUUCGAAGCAAACCAAGGAGUGGAAGAAGUUGGGCCAAGAAGCCCACAUUAUUUUAUUCUUUGCUUUGUAUUUUGUAAUUUUGGGUCUAAGUCCUUGUAGUAUAUCUGUUUUGCAUUUAUUUUUGUAAUAGGCUUAGGACAGGUGGAAUGGGUCAAAGUCCCAAAAAGACAAAUGGGUAAAAGACCCAAAACAUGUGGGUCCAAAUUUUUUAUCCAUGCAGACAGAAACCGGUUUGGACCCAAUCUCUCUCUCUCUCUCUCUUUCUCUCUCUCCCUUUAUUUGCUUAAUUACUUUUCAUAUUUUUCGUUAGUUGUAAGGCUAAGGAAUACAUAUCCCCGCAAACUCCGUAAACAUUUUAUCAACUUAAAACUAAUUUCAAACCGAUUCUAAAAGAGUGAAUAAAUUCGC